GUUCGUGUUACUGUUAACAAUACACAUCUUAAAUAUAUUCCUAUCAUUGCAUUUAUUUUUCAUUGGUUCUCGGAAGAUUGUCGUCCAUUUAAGUGCAUUUUUACGGGACUUUCCUUUAAUAAUAUAACAUUGGAUGUAAAUCAAAAGAAUAAGCACAUCAACAAUCAACUUAUCCCGAAAGGGACUUUCCUUUAAUAAUAUUACCUUGGAUUUAAAAAAAAAAAGGAAUAAGCACAUCCCCUUUUCCAGGAAUUUACAUCAAGUUGAUAUUUCGAUGAGAGUUUCUGGUAAUGUAUCAAACUAUCUGGAAAUGAAAUGAACUAUUAUUUAGAUAAUGCCCUCCAUACGAGUAAGAGUAAAUUAUGAGAGUGAAACAUGUAAAAAAAAUCUAAAGAAUAUAACCAAAACUUGAUUUUGCCUAUUCAAUAUUUUGAUUCGAGUGUAACCGAUUAGUUUUUGCAGACAAAAUGCGUGUCUAGCGUACACAAUAUAAUUCUUUUUAUGGUGUAUUUGUUGCAAAAUAGAAAGGCAAAAUGCAUUUAUUUCGAAGUUAGUCCUGUAUACAAUUUCCAUUGUAUAAUGUUUGUAUUUUACGUAUUGUUGUUCUCAUAUCAUCUCAACUAACAAGCCCGUGGAUAUCCGUUUAUGAACCUUCACCUUGUUCAAGUAUUGAUGGUUUGUGAACCCAUAAAAGUAAAUAGCUAGUCUUCUAGUAGCAAAAAGUAGAAAAGAAGAAGUUCAGAAUUAUUUUCGUCUGUACUAAAGCUCCGUUCAAUCAAUAAACGUUAUACUGUCUGCUUUGUCAUUAACUGAGAACGUUCAAAACAGAUCAUUUGUUGAUAAAGAAUUGCCGAGUUGGAUGCGUUCGUGUAUGCAAAAAACGUAAAAAGGAAUUUGGUGUAGACAACACUGUAAUUUAAAUCAACGGAAAUUGAGAAGAUGAGAUUCAGAAGAUGAUGGUUAUCUUUAAGAAUGAAUACAUACAUAGAUGUAAAAAUUAAAAAAAGUAGUUUAUAAGCCACAUUGUGUUCCCCUUUCAAAACCGAUUAAGUAUAGAUUAUCGGGUUUUCUACACAUUGAUACCGUAAAUAUCAGCCGCAAGCCACAAUGUGAACCUUGUUGGCGAGUGUAGCGCAGCGAACGAGUUAAAAAGUUCACAUUGUGUUCGAGCGGUUGAUAUUUACGAUAUCUUUACGAAGAAAACCCAGUUAUCUUUUUAUCGUUGUAUUACUGGUCUUUUCUUUCCCUAAGACAGUUUUUAGCUUGACGAAAAAGCAAGCUUGAUAACUUCUCCUCUCACAUUGUGACGUCGCUGAUUAAUGCUGGUCUCGUUUUGAAGUAUUGAUACGAGAAUUACGUAGCGACAGAGCAGGGUGAUAUUGGCGUAG
rnacentral:lncRNA from 1 species